rnacentral:miRNA from 1 species
UCCACUCAUGUGCACUUCCAGGU